rnacentral:rRNA from 1 species
CAUCGCUUUCCGCUUGCUCAAGAGUCCGGUAAGGCCGCCGUGCAGCCUCGCUCCUUCUUCUCCCCUCCAACCUUUUCCCCCUGUUCUGCAAGCCCUUUCCGUCUCCUUCUGGCUGCUUCCUCGCGCAGGUGCUAUUUCUGAGCUUCCGAGGCGACAGAGCUGCACAAGAGCAGAGCAGAGCAUAGGGAGAGAGAGAGAGAGAGAGAGAGAGAGAGAUGAGGGAGAUCAUAAGCAUCCACAUCGGGCAGGCGGGCAUCCAGGUGGGGAAUUCCUGCUGGGAGCUCUACUGCCUCGAGCAUGGCAUCCAGCCCGACGGCCUCAUGCCCAGUGACACCUCGGUUGGGGUUGCCAAGGAUGCAUUCAACACGUUCUUCAGCGAAACGGGUUCAGGGAAGCACGUUCCGAGGGCCUUGUUCGUUGAUCUGGAGCCCACGGUCAUCGACGAGGUGAGGACGGGGGCAUAUCGCCAGCUCUUCCAUCCAGAGCAGCUCAUCUCCCACAAUGAAGAUGCUGCUAACAACUUUGCCCGCGGACACUACACAGUUGGAAGAGAAGUAGUGGACCUUUGCCUUGACCGGAUCAGAAAAUUGGCGGACAACUGCACUGGUCUCCAAGGCUUCUUGGUUUUCAAUGCUGUCGGUGGUGGAACUGGCUCAGGGCUUGGUUCAUUGCUUCUGGAGCGCCUAUCGGUCGACUAUGGCAGGAAAUCGAAGCUCGGUUUCACCAUCUAUCCUUCACCACAGAUUUCGACGGCCGUUGUGGAGCCUUACAACAGCGUGCUGUCGACCCACUCGCUGAUCGAGCACACCGACGUGGUGGUGCUCCUGGACAACGAGGCCAUCUACGACAUCUGCAAGAGGUCCCUGGACAUCGAGCGCCCGACCUACACCAACCUGAACCGGCUGAUAUCCCAGGUGAUAUCGUCGCUGACCACCUCGCUGCGGUUCGACGGCGCCAUCAACGUGGACAUAACCGAGUUCCAGACCAACCUGGUGCCGUACCCGCGGAUCCACUUCAUGCUCUCCUCCUACGCGCCCAUCAUCUCCGCGGAGAAGGCCUUCCACGAGCAGCACUCCGUCCCCGAGAUCACCAACUCCGUGUUCGAGCCGUCGAGCGUCAUGGCCAAGUGCGACCCCCGGCACGGCAAGUACAUGGCCUGCUGCCUCAUGUACCGCGGCGACGUCGUGCCCAAGGACGUCAACUCCGCCGUCCACUCCAUCAAGACCAAGAGGACCGUGCAGUUCGUCGACUGGUGUCCGACUGGGUUCAAGUGCGGGAUAAACUACCAGCCGCCGACGGUGGUUCCGGGAGGGGACCUGGCCAAGGUGCGGCGGGCGGUGUGCAUGAUCAGCAACAACACGGCCGUGGCCGAGGUCUUCUCGCGCAUCGACCGCAAGUUCGACCUCAUGUACGCCAAGCGCGCGUUCGUGCACUGGUACGUCGGGGAAGGGAUGGAGGAGGGGGAGUUCUCGGAGGCCAGGGAGGACCUGGCCGCGCUGGAGAAGGACUACGAGGAGGUCGGAGCUGAGGGUGAAGACGACGAGGACGAAGGCGAUGAGUACUGAGUGGAUCAAGUGUGCGCUCUUAUUUGGUGGCAGUGUUGUGCACUUCAUGCGGUUUGUUCUUCUCUGUCCCUGUUUUGCUGUUGCAUCUGUGAUGUUCGGUGGUUAGCAGAGUACAAAAAUUGUCAAAUUGGUUCGUGUGCUCAGACGGUUCGGUGCCAUCAGAAUUUGCCAAGUGGAGGUUUACGUAAAACUCAACGUAAGUCUACGUAUGUGUAGUGUUGCUCGUCUGUGAGGAAGGUGGUAUCGAUACAUCAUAAUAAUGAACGAAGAGUUUUUG